CAGUAGCCGCGGUAAAACGGAGGGUGCAAGCGUUAUCCGGAUUUAUUGGGUUUAAAGGGUCCGUAGGCGGAUCUGUAAGUCAGUGGUGAAAUCUCACAGCUUAACUGUGAAACUGCCAUUGAUACUGCAGGUCUUGAGUAAAUUUGAAGUGGCUGGAAUAAGUAGUGUAGCGGUGAAAUGCAUAGAUAUUACUUAGAACACCAAUUGCGAAGGCAGGUCACUAAGAUUUAACUGACGCUGAUGGACGAAAGCGUGGGGAGCGAACAGGAUUAGAUACCCCGUAGUCCCUGUCUCUUAUACA
rnacentral:rRNA from 1 species